rnacentral:rRNA from 1 species
AGUGAACGCUGGAGGCGUGCCUAAUACAUGCAAGUCGAAGGAAGGGGCGCACGGGUGAGUCAUAUAUAGCUAAUAUGCCCCUUGCUGGAGGAAAACGGUUAGAAAUGACUGCUAAUACUCCAUAGAAUGGGAGGAGACUAUAUCGUAUCAGCGAGGCGGUGGGGUCACGGCCUACCGAGGCUAUGACGCGUAACUGGUCUGAGAGGAUGCUAAGUCACAUUGGAACUGAGACACGGUCCAAGCUCCUACGGGAGGCAGCAGUAGGGAAUAUUGCGCAAUGGGGGAAACCCUGACGCAGCAACGUCGCGUGGAGGAUGACACUUUUCGGAGCGUAAACUCCUUUUGUUAGGGAAGCGGUACCUAACGAAUAAGCACCGGCUAACUCCGUGCCAGCAGCCGCGGUAAUAC